rnacentral:lncRNA from 1 species
GUGAGAGGGUGUCAAAGGUUAAAGCCAUGGCACCUACACCGCUGGCCUCAUGGCCCAUAUGUCCUAUAGCUGCAAUUAUAAGAGUUGGAUAUAAAAUUUCCACUGCUUCAGUCCUUUCCCAAGGGACUCAACAGUUGAAGGGCACUGCAGCCCCUCUCAUCUUCUGUACAUGUCUCAGAUUACAGGUGACAGUAAAGAGAAUCUUGAGCUUCGAAAACAAGGAGUCCUAUCUGCUUGUCUUGCUUACUGAUAAAUUGGCCAUGCGUAGCUCCAUGCCUUAUACGUGCAAUCUUCCACAAGGGCUAGGCAAUUUGCAAUGAAGAUGAAGUUUAAGACAUAAAAGGAAGUAAGAUUGAUCUCAUGAAGGCUCCAUUUCACAAACACCUUCGGGCAUUUCCAAUCAACACAGACGGAGUCUCGCUCUUUCGCCCAGGCCGGACUGCAGUGGCGCUGCCUCAGUUCACUGCAAGCUCCGCUUCCCGGAUUCACGCCAUUCUGCUGCCUCAGCCUCCUGAGUAGCUGGGAUUACAGGCGCCAGCCACCGCGCCCGGCUAAUUUUUUGUACUUUUAGUAGAGACAGGAUUUCACCCCGUGUUAGCCAAGAUGGUCUCGGUCUCCUGACCUCGUGAUCUGCCUGCCUCGGCCUCCCAAAGUGGUGGGAUUACAGGCGUAAGCCACCGCGCCCGGCCUGAGCAAUGAAUUUCUUAAUUGCCAAACAUAACACAAUGCCAUUUUAAGAACAUUUUGGAAGGUGGAGGCCCUACAAUGUUUAUUUAUAUAAAGAAUUCUGUUCACAAAAAGGGAGGAAGGAGAAGAAAAAGGAUACAAAAAAGGAGAUGCAGGCCGGGCACGGUGGCUCACACCUGUAAUCCCAACACUUUGGGAAGCCAAG